rnacentral:rRNA from 1 species
GAUGAACGCUGGCGGCGUGCUUAACACAUGCAAGUCGAACGGACAAAGAUGAAACCUAGUGAUUCUUGUUAGUGGCGGACGGGUGAGUAACGCGUGGGUAACCUGCCGUAUACAGGGGGACAACAGUUGGAAACGACUGCUAAUACCGCAUAAGCGCACAGGACCGCAUGGUCUGGUGUGAAAAACUCCGGUGGUAUACGAUGGACCCGCGUCUGAUUAGCUAGUUGGUGAGGUAACGGCCCACCAAGGCGACGAUCAGUAGCCGGCCUGAGAGGGUGAACGGCCACAUUGGGACUGAGACACGGUCCAGACUCCUACGGGAGGCAGCAGUGAGGAAUACUGGUCAAUGGGCGCGAGCCUGAACCAGCCAAGUAGCGUGAAGGAUGACUGCCCUACGGGUUGUAAACUUCUUUUGUUUGGGAAUAAAUGAUACUACGUGUAGUAUUUUGCAUGUACCUUACGAAUAAGCAUCGGCUAAUUCCGUG